rnacentral:rRNA from 1 species
UUUGAACCGCAUGGUUCAAAAGUGAAAGACGGUCUUGCUGUCACUUAUAGAUGGAUCCGCGCUGCAUUAGCUAGUUGGUAAGGUAACGGCUUACCAAGGCAACGACGCAUAGCCGACCUGAGAGGGUGAUCGGCCACACUGGAACUGAGACACGGUCCAGACUCCUACGGGAGGCAGCAGUAGGGAAUCUUCCGCAAUGGGCGAAAGCCUGACGGAGCAACGCCGCGUGAGUGAUGAAGGUCUUCGGAUCGUAAAACUCUGUUAUUAGGGAAGAACAUAUGUGUAAGUAACUGUGCACAUCUUGACGGUACCUAAUCAGAAAGCCACGGCUAACUACGUGCCAGCAGCCGCGGUAAUACGUAGGCGGCAAGCGUUAUCCGGAAUUAUUGGGCGUAAAGCGCGCGUAGGCGGUUUUUUAAGUCUGACGUGAAAGCCCACGGCUCAACCGUGGAGGGUCAUUGGAAACUGGAAAACUUGAGUGCAGAAGAGGAAGGUGGAAUUCCAUGUGUAGCGGUGAAAUGCGCAGAGAUAUGGAGGAACACCCGUGGCGAAGGCGACUUUCUGGUCUGUAACUGACGCUGAUGUGCGAAAGCGUGGGGAUCAAACAGGAUUAGAUACCCUGGUAGUCCACGCCGUAAACGAUGAGUGCUAAGUGUUAGGGGGUUUCCGCCCCUUAGUGCUGCAGCUAACGCAUUAAGCACUCCGCCUGGGGAGUACGACCGCA